UUGAAGAGGGUGAAUCUUCAGAUUUUGCUCUGACCUGGGACUCAUCAGUGACUCAAUCAGGUGGCCUGGGAGGAGAGCUGGAGAGUGAAGCGAAGGACAGCCGGGCCCUGGAAGAGAGGAACAGUGUGACGAGCCAGGAAGAGAGAAAUGAGGAAGAUGAAGACAUGGAGGAUGAGUCAAUUUACACCUGCGAUAACUGUCAGCAGGACUUCGAUUCACUGGCAGACCUGACUGAACACAGGGCACACAACUGUCCUGGAGGUUGUCUGUUUCAAACAGCAGCAGAGCUAUAUAUGGAUAUUGCCAGCUUGGAAGCAGCUGAUUUUUCUAAACUACUGUACG